AUCUGGUGAUGAGGACAUUUAGAUAGCAAUUCUUGAAAUCGACUCUAAUAUUCAUAAAAGGAUUCUUGAGCCAUCUGUUUAGCACCAUAAAUUUCUUUUAUUAAAGAU